CAGUCCUACGGGACGCAGCAGUGGGGGAUAUUGCACAAUGGGGGGAACCCUGAUGCAGCGACGCCGCGUGGGUGAAGAAGCGCCUCGGCGCGUAAAGCCCUGUCAGCAGGGAAGAAAAUGACGGUACCUGAAGAAGAAGCCCCGGCUAACUACGUGCCAGCAGCCGCGGUAAUACGUAGGGGGCAAGCGUUAUCCGGAUUUACUGGGUGUAAAGGGGGCGCAGACGGCGAUGCAAGCCAGGAGUGAAAGCCCGGGGCCCAACCCCGGGACUGAUCUUGGAAAUGCGUGGUUGGAGUGAAGGAGGG
rnacentral:rRNA from 1 species